rnacentral:rRNA from 1 species
UUUCCGGCGGCUAUAGCGAGGAGGCCACACCUGUUCCCAUCCCGAACACAGAAGUUAAGCUCCUCCGCGCCGAUGGUACUGCAAGGGCAGCUUUGUGGGAGAGUAGGUCGUCGCCGGAUU